rnacentral:siRNA from 1 species
UGGUGGAAAUAUGACUUUCUGC